GCAAAUGAACUUUUCUUCAAUCGAAAACUUACUUCAAUCUUGAUUUUCAAAAACCUAUAACAAAUCAAAAACACAUUAAUUAUUUUAUAUAAAAUUUAAAUUAUUUUAAAACACAAAUUAUUUAAUUAUUUUUUAAAUAAUUUAAAAACAUAAAAUAUUGAAAACAAAUUUAUUUCAUGCAAAUAAUUAAUUAAGAUAUAGAUUCAUGUAAAUUAUUAAUUAAAUUGAUAUUUAAUUACAAUUAUUUAAAUAAUUUACAAAUAAGUUGAUUAAAUAAAAAAUUUAAUUAUUUUAAUUUAAAAUACGAAAUAAGAAAUAAUUAUUUUAAUUAUUAUUAAAAACAGUAAUUAAAAAAUCGAGGCGAGCAAUUCGAUUUUUUUAUGUAUUUUAAUUAUUUUAAUUAUUAUUAAAAACAGUAAUUAAAUAAUUUCUAAUUAUUUAAUUACCAAUUUAAUUAACAAAUUAUUUUGAUACAAUUUAAUAAUUAUUACUUAAGAAAUUAAAAUUUUAUGGAAAUUAAUUAUUUACAAGUAUAAGACAAAAAACUAAUUUUAUUACUUAAUUUUUUAAAUUUUUUUUUUUAAAACAAAAUAUUAAUUAUUUAAUUCAUAACAGUAAAUAAUAUAAAGAAUUUCAGUAUUUUUAAAAUUAUUUAAAAACAGUAAUUUAUUUAUUUAUUUAAAAAAAUAUUAAUUAUUUAAAAACAUUAAUUUAUUUAAUUAAAACAGUAAUUAUUUAUCUAAUUAAAUACACAUUUAUUUAAUUAAAAAACAAAAAAACAGUAAUUAUCAUUUAAAUUUAAUUUAUUCAUUAAAAACACUAAAUUAAACAGUAAUUUAUUUUUAAAAUGAUAAUUUCUUAUAUUAAAAACAGUAAAAUUUAUUAAUAAAUAACAACAAAAUAUAACUAAUUAGAUAAAAACGAUUUCAUAAAAAAUGAUCUCUAAAAUUUUACCAAAACGAACAAUCGAGGCGAGCAAGGCAAUCGGACACGAGCACGGCUGUCGGAGGAGGCGGAAAAACUAACACAAUACAUUAAAAAAUUACUAAAUAACUAUAAAGUAAUAUAAACAUGUAAAAUUAUAAACCCAAUCAACUAAUAAACAUUAGACAUAAAAUUAAAUAAAAUCAUAAAAUAUAAAUCGAAUAUUAAAUCUUUCAUAUCUAAAUGACAGUAGACAUCAAAAAUUAAACAAGACAUCAAAUAUUAAACAAGUCAUAUAAACAUCCAUAUCUAAAUCAAAUAAAAUCAACCAUAUCUAAACAUCCAUAUCUAAAUUCAUCCAUAACUAAACUAUAUAAAAUUCCAUAUAAACAUCCACAUUAACAUAAACAUCUAUAUAAACAUUCAUCAUCCAUGUAACUAAUUCCUAUAAACACUAGAAAUGACAAUCUAAAAACACUAAUAAUAACAUGAUUAUACAAACAAUCAAUAUUAUUCUAGAAUAUAAGUUUCAAAUAAUUACAAUCAAGAAAAACAAAAAAAAUUCAUUACAGUAGAAACUAAAUAAUCAAAUAAAAAAAUUAAACCCAUUCAUUACAGUAGAAACUAAAUAAUCAAAUAAUCAAAUUCAUUACAGUAAAUAUUAUUCUAGAAUUAUUUGAUUAAAAAAAUUCAAAUAAUCAAUAAUCGAAACCCAUUCACAAUCAUAUCUUCAAAUAAAUUAAACCCAAUCAUCAAUAAAUUAAACCCAUUCACAAUCAACACAAUAAUCAUAAACAAAAAACAAUAAAAAAACAAAAGAAAAUAUAAAACAAACCUUCAAUCAACCUUUGGAAUCGAAGUGUCCGGAGAUCACGGCGAGGACACGGCGACUGGGAGUGGAGACAGGCGACGACGACGGCAGCGGCGGGGAGACAGGCACGGCAGCAGGAGUCGGCGGAAGGAAGAAAACGAGAACAGACAACGCGUCUGUUCUGAUUUGGGGUUUUUAAUAAACCCCAAAACUUACAUGGCGGAUUUCCGCCAUGUAAGUACACUUAAGUGCCGC
rnacentral:lncRNA from 1 species